rnacentral:rRNA from 1 species
GACGAACGCUGGCGGCGUGCUUAACACAUGCAAGUCGAACGGAAAGGCCCUGCUUUUGUGGGGUGCUCGAGUGGCGAACGGGUGAGUAACACGUGAGUAACCUGCCCCUGACUUUGGGAUAACUUCAGGAAACUGGGGCUAAUACCGGAUAGGAGCUCCUGCUGCAUGGUGGGGGUUGGAAAGUUUCGGCGGUUGGGGAUGGACUCGCGGCUUAUCAGCUUGUUGGUGGGGUAGUGGCUUACCAAGGCUUUGACGGGUAGCCGGCCUGAGAGGGCGACCGGCCACAUUGGGACUGAGAUACGGCCCAGACUCCUACGGGAGGCAGCAGUGGGGAAUAUUGCACAAUGGGCGGAAGCCUGAUGCAGCAACGCCGCGUGCGGGAUGACGGCCUUCGGGUUGUAAACCGCUUUCGCCUGUGACGAAGCGUGAGUGACGGUAAUGGGUAAAGAAGCACCGGCUAACUACGUG